rnacentral:rRNA from 1 species
GAUGAACGCUGGCGGCGUGCUUAACACAUGCAAGUCGAACGGAAAGGCCCAAGCUUGCUUGGGUACUCGAGUGGCGAACGGGUGAGUAACACGUGGGUGAUCUGCCCUGCACUUCGGGAUAAGCCUGGGAAACUGGGUCUAAUACCGGAUAGGACCACUUCUUGGAUGUUGUGGUGGAAAGUUUUUUCGGUGUGGGAUGAGCUCGCGGCCUAUCAGCUUGUUGGUGGGGUAAUGGCCUACCAAGGCGUCGACGGGUAGCCGGCCUGAGAGGGUGUACGGCCACAUUGGGACUGAGAUACGGCCCAGGCUCCUACGGGAGGCAGCAGUGGGGAAGAUUGCACAAGGGGCGCAAGCCUGAUGCAGCGACGCCGCGGGGGGGAUGACGGCCUUCGGGUUGUAAACUCCUUUCGCUAGGGACGAAGCGUUUUGUGACGGUACCUGGAGAAGAAGCACCGGCUAACUACGUG